GACUGUCUAUGUUUACUAUUCAACAAUUUUUAGUAUUUGAUACAGAUACAACUUCCUUCUAAACGUUUCCAUGCAAAUAUGCAGUAGGUUGUGUUUCUCCUAUAAGAAAUAGAAAUGACAAAAUAAUGGCAGUACUCAGAAACUUUUGCGCAGCUCUGAUGCCGCAAGCAUGGAUUGCCCAUUUUGAUGUCUGCAUUUCGUUUGGAUCCGGAAACUUGUGGUGAUUGCAAGGGUGAGAGAGAAAGGGAGCUCAAAAAGCUGCUGGAAAAUUUUAAUAGCAAAAGAAGGUACAUGAUCCUAGCAUUGAUUGGUGAGAAAGGGUAUGGCUGAAUUGCAUAUGUAACUAGUGUCCUGCUCAUAUCGAUUCAGUUUCUGUUCUGGCAUGUGUGCCCCUCGCUGAACUAUUGAUCUAUAUGCAGCUGGAACUACAGAAAGAGAGCCAAAAGCUCCUACACAAGCUUCCAAAGCUAGA